UUUUUAGUAUAAGUAUAUCCCAUGCAAUAUUUGGGAUAUACCUAUGUUAAAA
rfam:Pteropus alecto contig31834, whole genome shotgun sequence.